ensembl:snoRNA SNORD11B small nucleolar RNA, C/D box 11B
UGACAGUGGUGAUGAUGACGACAUUUGUCUUUAUCCUGAAACAAAUCAUGUGGGUUUUUCAGUCACUACCUCAUCUGAACUGUCA